rnacentral:pre_miRNA from 2 species
UAUUAGGUUGGUGCGAAAAUAAUUGAGGUUUUUGCCAUUAAAAGUAAUUGCAAAAACCACAAUUAUUUUUGCACCAACCUAGUA